GGUUGAUCUAGGGAUCCUAGCCACAGUGAAUGGGGUCCAUGUGUGACCUGUGAAGUCCUUGCCCUAGGGAGUGCACACCCGGCUCUUCUGUCCUCAGCAGCUCCUGCAAUGAGCACCGGUGCCUAUACUACCCCAUGACAGGACCUGGGAGAGCAAAAGCAAAGCCUUGGAAUCCCUUGAUCUCACGAAAUGCCGGACAGACGCAACCUAAUAAAGAAAAGAAGACAUACUUUGGCCCACAGUUUAAGGAUUUGGGGAUACCACCACCGUGGCUGCAGUAGCUUGAGAUAGUUAGCCAAGCACUGCAUCUGCAGCCGGGAAGCAGAGAGAUGGACGCCUGUGCUCAGCCUGCUUUGCUUUGCCUGGUCCAGGACCGCAGCUGAUCUCAAGCACCCCUACAGUUAGGGCUUCCAAGUGUAACUGGCUUGACCCACGCUACCAUCUCGUCAGCAAGAACGCACGCAGGACACUCGGAUCCGUCUGCAGUAAAGCUUUAAUGAAUCUCAAGAGAUAGAUGAUCAGCUUCAGGAGAGGAGACCCAGAGAGCAGAAAACCCUUCCCUUAUAUAGGCUGCGAAGUAAGUUUGGAGACGUGCACUAGCCGGAUUGGCUGCCCACCAUCAGCCAGAUGACGCCAUGGGAGAGGCAGGGCUCAGGUAAUGGAAAGAUACCCUGACGCCUGCGCACACUACUUGUUUUUCACCACGAGCAACAGAUGUCAGCGCCAUUUUGUAAUGGCGACCGUGAGGGCGGCUCCUCACACUGGCUAGUUUUGUGUCAACUUGACACAGCUGGAGUUAUCACAGAAAAAGGAGCUUCAGUUGAGGAAAUGCCUCCACGAGAUCCAGCUGUGGGGUAUUUUCUCAAUUAGUGAUCAAGGGGGAAAGGCUCCUUGUGGGCGGGACCAUCGCUGGG
rnacentral:lncRNA from 1 species